rnacentral:rRNA from 1 species
GAUGAACGCUGGCGGCGUGCCUAAUACAUGCAAGUCGAGCGAACAGACGAGGAGCUUGCUCCUCUGACGUUAGCGGCGGACGGGUGAGUAACACGUGGAUAACCUACCUAUAAGACUGGGAUAACUUCGGGAAACCGGAGCUAAUACCGGAUAAUAUAUUGAACCGCAUGGUUCAAUAGUGAAAGACGGUUUUGCUGUCACUUAUAGAUGGAUCCGCGCCGCAUUAGCUAGUUGGUAAGGUAACGGCUUACCAAGGCAACGAUGCGUAGCCGACCUGGGAGGGUGAUCGGCCACACUGGAACUGAGCCACGGUCCAGACUCCUACGGGAGGCAGCAGUAGGGAAUCUUCCGCAAUGGGCGAAAGCUUGACGGAGCAACGCCGCGUGAGUGAUGAAGGUCUUCGGAUCGUAAAACUCUGUUAUUAGGGAAGAACAAAUGUGUAAGUAACUAUGCACGUCUUGACGGUACCUAAUCAGAAAGCCACGGCUAACUACGUG